CCCUUAGAUGUCCUGGGCCGCACGCGCGCUACACUGAGUGUCUGAGAUACGAGUCUGCCUGGUCCGGCAAGGUCUAGGUAAUCGCUAAAAGACACAUCAUGCUUGGGAUAGAUUAUUGCAAAUAUUAAUCUUGAACGAGGAAUUCCUAGUAAGCGCAAGUCAACAGCUUGCGUUGAUUACAUCCCUGCCCUUUGUACACACCGCCCGUCGCUACUACUGAUUGGAUGUUUAAGCGAGGUUCUCGAACUGCUAGCGACUUAGCUUCGGUGAGGUCGCAGUGUGGGAAGUGAACCUAGCUUUGGUGUCUAGAGGAAGUAAAAGUCGUAACA
rnacentral:rRNA from 1 species